AGAGACAAACAACACAAACAGAAUAACAGCACACGAAAUGACAACCAAAACCAAAAAGAAACACACAAAACAGGAAAAUAAAGCACACAGCAAAAUCAAAACCAGAGACUGAAAAGCACCACAAGCCCCCAAAACAGACGCCUAAAGAACACCAGCUAACCGUUCCUCUUCUUCUCAAACCCAUAGAAGCCACAAACAGAGGAAACUACAGCUUUGAACCACCCACGCCGGAGAUUCAAAGAACCUUCUCCGCGACUUCAAAGCCCCAAAGCUCUCAGCAGUGGCGUCUCCAGUCCGAACAGUCUUCAGCCACCAGAUUUUCAACAGAAAUUGGCACCUCCUCAACCCAGAAACAUGGUGAGGUCCGCCUGCGCCCCUCUAAAACCAGAGUGUGAGCCGCUCUAUUAACAGUUCUCGGGACAAACUGUUGUUAGCUUCUUUAUAAUCGUAAGCGAAUCCCCUUCCAAGAUGACCAACCUGAAGCCCAUAUCAAUCGCAAAAAGGAGAGCAC